rnacentral:rRNA from 1 species
UACGUAGGGUGCAAGCGUUGUCCGGAAUUAUUGGGCGUAAAGAGCUUGUAGGCGGUUUGUCGCGUCUGCUGUGAAAUUUCGGGGCUCAACCCCGAACUUGCAGUGGGUACGGGCAGACUAGAGUGCGGUAGGGGAGACUGGAAUUCCUGGUGUAGCGGUGAAAUGCGCAGAUAAUCAGGAGGAACACCGGUGGCGAAGGCGGGUCUCUGGGCAAUAACUGACGCUGAAGCGCGAAAGCUAGGGGAGCGAACGGG